CCAGCAUGCCUUGCCUUCUGAUGGCACGACCUCACCAAAUUGUUCACUUGAAGCUGGCAAUUGAGAGAAGGCAGGGAGGGUGAAAGAUCUUCCAAGGCAGGUGGUGAAAGAAGCACCAGAGCAGCUGACAGUGGGUCUAACGACCUGCUUCUCCAGCAGCCCCAAGCACAGGUCCUGAGGCAUCACCCUCCAUGUCCUAGUGUACUGGCUUCAUGCUUUGAGACUCCCCCAGUUUCAAGGGACCCCAGUUCGUCAACCGUAACAACAAACAAGGCUCACCUUCCCACCUAACAUCUGGGUCUUGCACAUUGUUAGCCAGCCUUCCCAUCCCCCAGUUGCCCGUUGGCAUAUGAUACCACGCCGCUUCACCCAGGAAAUUCUUAGCACGGAGAGAGGAGGUCAGCGGAUCCAGAAUCCCUGUGAUGAUGAAACAAUGACUUGGCCAAGGUCACCCUGUGACAGAUUUAAAAAUGAAAUUCAAGCUUGGUGCCUGUCUAUCGGCAUCUGUGGAGGACCCCACUGGGUUCAGAACCUGACUUGGAUUGCCUUGGGAGUGUCAGGUUCAUAACAUGCUUGAGGAGCUUAGCUGAGAGAAUUUCAGAAACUGGCUAAACCAAUCUAUGGUGACACAGGACAUAAGAGCGGUUUGCUUUGGGAGCAGCUCUCAUUUUAAAAAGUAGGAAAACAAAGGUCUGAAUCAAGAAAAUGACGUCUGAUUUAUAGUCAAGUGAAUUCAAGGUUCUAUCUCCUCAAACAUUUUUACAGAUGCCACUUUUUUUUACGUUUAUUGAAACCCUGCUGCAUGCCUGGCACUGUCUUCCACAAAGCAUACAGCAAUAAACAAGACAGACAAGAUCGUGCUCUAGUAUUGUGUACAUUCUAGUUGAGGGAUACUGAUCCUAAGCAAAUGAAUGGCAUGCCAGAGAAUGGCAAAGGAUCCGUAAAGAAUUAAAAUAGAAUGAUAGUGAGUGAGUGACUGGGUGGCUACUUCAGAUUAGAUGAUCAGGAAAGGACUCUCUGAAGAGGUGACCACCAGGCUAAGACCUGAGGGACAAGAAAUGACCAGCCAUGUGACAAGAAAGAGGUAUUCUAGGCUGAAGGACCAAAGUGCCAGAGCCCUAAGUUGAGAAGGAACUUUUUCUGUUUGAGGAACAACACUUGGUUAUUAUAGUGGAGCAGAGUGUGCCAGAGAGGGUGGUACAAGUUGAAAUCAGAGUGGUGGACACAGGCUAAAAUAUGCAGGGCUUGCUAAACUGUGGGAAGAAGUUUGAAUUUUUUUCUAAGUUGAGUAGGAAAGCCGUUAAAGGAUUUUCAGCAGGUGGGAAUGGUGACAUGCAGUGAUUGUGUUUUGAUAAGUCGCCCCUGCCCAUUGUGGCAAGAAUGGAUUAUAGCAGAGCAAGCGUGGAAGAAUGAGGACUUGUUGGAAAACUAAUGCCUAAAUCCAAGCUAGAGGAAACAGCAGCGUGAACUAGGGAAAAUGAGGUGCCUUCAAGAUGUAAUUUGGAGGGAUUUGCUUAUGGAUCAAAUAUAAAGGAAUAAGGGAAAGAGGACUCCACAACAACUCCCAGACUUUUGACUUGAAGAACUUAGAGAAUGCAGAGCACUAGGAAAGAGCAAGUUGGAGGUAGGAAGAUAGAAGCAAAGAGUUUGUUUUGGUGGGUCCAAUUUAUGGUGCCCUUUAGACAUCUAUAAGGAGAAGUCAAGUGUUCAAUUGGAUAUAAGUGUGGUUCAGGGGAAAGGUUAAGGUUGAGAUUAGUUAUAGGAAUCCUUGCACAUGCAUAAUAAAGCCAUGGGACUAGAUGGGCCCUCUAGAUAGAGAGGAGACAGAGAAGAGAAGGAGGCAUUCAAAUAUCAAGAGAGAAUGUAAAAGGAGCCAGGAGAGCCCUGAGAAGGAAUGGCCAGAGAAGUAGAAGGAAACCAGAAGAGCAUGACUUCAUAGCAGCCAGGAGAAAAAAUAUUUCCAGAAGAUGGAAAUGAUAAGCCAAGGGGUCAAGGAAGAUGAGAAGAGAGAAGGGAUUUGGAUUUAGCAAUAUGACAAGGGCGUGCUCAGUGGAAUGGCAGGGACAGAAGCCUGACUGCAGUGGGUGGAAGUGACUAUGAGAUGAGAAACUAGAGAGACAGUAUAGACGACCCUUUCAAGAAGAUUUUUGUGGAAGGGAGCAAAGGAAUUAGGUGAUAAGCUAGAGGAGGGCGCAAGACCAAGGAUGCUCUUGUUUCUGAUUUGCCUUGCUUUGAACUGGGGACAUUUGAACUUGUUUCAUGCUGAUGGGAUUGAUCUAAUAGAGAAGAAAAAAACAGAGGUUCAGGAGGAAAAGGGAAUAAUUUUGGAAAAAAUAGUCCUUGAGAAGAGAGGAGUGGAGGAAUCCAGAGUGCAAGUGGAAGGGCCUCAUUUUUCCUUAAGGAAUGAUACUAUUUUGGGCAAAAGAAAUUCACAUGAUGUAGGACUGCUCCAAGCAUCCCUGGCCAUUGUAGUUCUUCCAGUCAUUGUGGCAACAAAAGAAAAAACUAAGUCCCUACAUGUCUCCAAAUGCUCCAUGUGGGGCACAAUACUGCUCCAUCGAGAAUCAACUAACAACUGCCUACCUGCCACUCUGCCCUGCCUGAUGCCACCGCUGGGGACCCAAGUCUCAAGGCAAGGUAAUAGGGUUCUUAAACUGAGGAAGGGACACAUUUGUGGAAGUUUGAAUUUGAGGAGCUGGAGGAAGGGUGUUGCUGCAAAGCUCUGGGGACCCUGGAAUCAAAACCAGCAACCAGCAACCAGCACAGCCCAGUGCUUAAGCUCCUCUGAAGUCUGCCUGAGAAGCAUUGCAACCUUCCAGUUGGAGUAGCUGCCCCCUGGCCUUCGGCAUUUAACAGUCCAUGGCUCUGCUUCAGUCUAUGAUAGAAGAACUUGCAGCUUCCACAGGAACAACUAGAAAGCUGGAUAAAGCACACAAUAAAAGAAAAAAUCUGUUUGAAGCCAUAAAAGAACAAGCAGGGCUUGAGGAACCAAGAUCCUAGAGAGAAGAAUAUGAGCCCCCUUCUGCGUUUCCCCUUGGGGCAUUUGUUGUGUAGAAGGGAUCAGAGCAAGAAACCAAGGAGAAGGUGUUUGAGAAGCUUAGCAGAAAUUUUAGCAGUCUCGUGGUGCUAGGGAAACAAAAGUGGGCGUCCGGGAGCAGGCAAGGCAAACAGGUCCUGAUAAACACCUCGAGUCUCUCAGAACCCCCAGAGGGCCGUAUCCUAGGGACGGAGGUGAGGCAGAGGCUGCCUCACAAGGGCUGAAAUCCUGCCUUGACACAGCUGAGUCCCUAACCGGACUGAAUUCCUCCAACUGCCUGCCAGAAUAACAGGCAAAUCUGUAACGUUUUGUGCACUGAAUACACCAUGCUUACCCAGAAACAGAACCAAGAGGAAAAAAGACACUAGAAACCAAC
rnacentral:lncRNA from 1 species